GCCAAAUCCCCCUCUGUGAGAAACACCCAAGAAUUAUCAAUAAAAAAAUAAAUUAAAAAAAAAAAAAAAAAGAAAAUGAAAGCUGCAAUAGAAACUCAUAAAUGAAAAAAUUAUCUCCUGACCAUUUUUGAGAGAAUGAGAGACAUAUUCUGCUCAGUGUAAAAGUGGUUAUUAAAGUUAUUUUGAAAAAUUUCAUUUAAAAAAAAAAAAAUGUCAUAGAAGGAGGAACUGGUUAUUCUCAACUGCAGCGACAAGUUCUGUGCUAAUGAGUAACUUUCUUCAAAAUGGGGUGAUUUCUUAGUAUAGCAGACUACACAGACAUAAUCAGAUGUGACCUAUCCCUUCAGCCAUAGUUCAUCCUUGUUAAGAAUAUGUUUAUUCAACCUUGCGGAGGUUGGGAUGAUGCCUAAGAGAAGAACCAACUUAGGCUUCUAGACGGACCUAUCGGGAGACCUGUUCCAAGUACCAAUAAUGUCUCUUCUUCAAAGAUGUGGGCAUUGGUGACCCACUAUUAGAGAUUUUAUACAAGUUUUGGGGCUAUCAGGGACCUUAGAGAUCGUCUAGUCUGGAUUCAAACAUUAAUCCAGGUAUCCCAUCCUCAAAGAUUGCCAGGGAGCUGCAUAAGCUUCCCAGGUGAUGUCAAUGCGCAGCUGGAUUUGGAAGUGAAUGCCUAAGUAAAAAGGAUAAUUUAGGCAAUCACUUCAAGGUUCAUCCUUGGAAAGUGGAUUGUUUCUACUUUUUGGCUGUUAUGAAUAAUGCUGCUAUAAACAUUUGUAUAUAAGUUUUUGUGUGGAUAUGUUUUCUUUUCUCUUGGGUAUAUACCUAGGAGUAUUACUGCUGGGUUAUAUAAUAAAUCUAUAUUUAACCUCUUGAAGAACUGCCAGACUGUUUUGCAAAGUGGCUACAACAUCUUACAUUCCCACCAGUAAUGCUUGUUUUUUGUUUACAGCUAUCCUAGUGGGUGUGAGCUUCGCUGUUUGUCCUGUAUGCCUGUUUAUGAAGAUGCGUCUCUAUUUC
rnacentral:lncRNA from 1 species